AUGACCUCGGAUCAGGUAGGGAUACCCGCUGAACUUAAGCAUAUCAAUAAGCGGAGGAAAAGAAACCAACAGGGAUUACCUCAGUAACGGCGAGUGAAGCGGUAACAGCUCAAAUUUGAAAUCUGGCUCCUCGGGGCCCGAAUUGUAAUUUGUAGAAGAUGCUUUGGGUCUGGGCCUGGCCUAAGUUCCUUGGAACAGGACGUCGUAGAGGGUGAGAAUCCCGUAUGCGGCUGGCGCCCGUGCCCGUGUAAAGCUCUUUCAACGAGUCGAGUUGUUUGGGAAUGCAGCUCUAAAUGGGUGGUAAAUUUCAUCUAAAGCUAAAUAUUGGCCAGAGACCGAUAGCGCACAAGUAGAGUGAUCGAAAGAUGAAAAGCACUUUGGAAAGAGAGUUAAACAGUACGUGAAAUUGUUGAAAGGGAAGCGCUGGCAACCAGACUUGGGCGCUGUUGAUCCGCUAGGGUUCUCUCUAGGGCACUCGGCAGUGCGCAGGCCAGCAUCGGUUUGGGGGGUUGGAGAAUGGCUGGUGGAAUGUGGCUGUCUUUGGGCAGUGUUAUAGCCACCGGUGGCAUGCAGCCUCCCCGGACCGAGGACCGCGCUUCGGCUAGGAUGCUGGCGUAAUGGUUGUCAGCGACCCGUCUUGAAACACGGACCAAGGAGUCUAACAUCUAUGCGAGUGUUUGGGUGUUAAACCCAUACGCGGAAUGAAAGUGAACGUAGGUGAGAACCCGCAAGGGUGCAUCAUCGACCGAUCCUGAUGUCU
rnacentral:rRNA from 1 species